rnacentral:rRNA from 1 species
UACGUAGGUGGCAAGCGUUGUCCGGAUUUACUGGGCGUAAAGAGCGCGCAGGCGGUCGUUCAAGUCGCGUGUGAAAGCCCCCGGCUCAACUGGGGAGGGUCACGCGAUACUGAUCGACUCGAAGGCAGGAGAGGGUAGUGGAAUUCCCGGUGGAGCGGUGAAAUGCGUUGAGAUCCGGAGGAACGCCCGCGGCGAAAGCGCGUCCCUGGACCCCGCCUGACGCUGAGACGCGAAAGCCAGGGGAGCGAACGGG